rnacentral:pre_miRNA from 1 species
GUGUGUGUGAAUAGUGUUCAGUACCAGACACAGGUCUGUUUGCCUGUCUGUAGUGUGGAUUGUGUUCAGCACCAGGGAUAGGUCUGUUUGCCU